UUUCUUUGUUUAAUUCCAGGUCAAGUUAUCUGUCUGCAAACACGAUAUUCCUUACAUGAACAGUACACAUGAAACCAAUGCAUAAAAACAAACCACAUUCAUGGGUCUCGUAUUACUCUUGGGCUGGUGUCAUGUGAUCCGUCAGAACAUGAAAAUGAAUAGACGCUGAUCUUUAAUUCUCAGUCGUGGUCAUGAGAUACCCAUGAGAAUUGUUAUGUGUGUCAAUUUAGUUAAUGCCCAACUUACUUCUCAGGUGUCACAUGUUUAACAAAGGAAAACACUUUGUGAUACCAGCGAAUAGCAGUUUUUAACACAUUUUCCUAGAGGCCUGAAUCGAAUGGUGAAACACAACACUGGGUGGAUCUUUGGUACAUUUAGGUAGUCCUUUGACCCAUUUCAGAGAGCCAGCUUUAUUGCCUUAACUUGGAUAAACAUUUUUAAAAAGACAAGAACGAGUCUUUGUCAAAGGUCACUCUCAAGGGGCUAGGGCGCCAAGAGUAUAUCUACUGUGCAACUCUCGUCUUCCCCCUCACAAUUGAGGAAAGACCAGACAGAGACAACAUGAAGAUGCAGAUGCUGCUGGUGUUGGCUGUAGCAGUCUUGAUGAUUCCCAGUCUGUCUGAGGGACGGAUCCUCUCAAAAUGUGAGCUGAAGAGCUUAUUGGAGGAGGCGGCCUUCAAAUUCAACCUGACUGAGAAAGCCAGAGAGAAUUAUGUGACAAACAAGGACUUUGUGGCUAAAAUCGUCUGCCAUGUAGAGAAGGCCACAGGUUUCAACACCAGUUUUGUGACUCCUUGGAGGGAUGAUGAUGGCCCUGAUGACAGCCCUACCCACCCUGCUAAGGAUGAUAACCGCUCGACCCAUCCUACCCACCCUGAGCACCCUCCUAGGAGGGGUAAGAGACACGCUGGGGAUUCUCACGGGGAUUCAUCCAGCGCUGAAAGUCAUCAGUUCAGCUCAUCAAAAGAAGACUCCAGUGAAGAAGACUCCAGUGAAGAAGAGACCAUGUACCUCUACGGCUUGUUUCAGCUGAGCGAUCAUGUGAUCUGUGCCAACGGCUCCACUCCGUCUCUGAACCUUUGCCAGAUAAACUGCAGUGAUUUGAUUGACGACGACAUAAGUGAUGACUUGGACUGUGUGGAGACAAUCAAACAGACAGUGGAAAGUGGGCCUGGUGAUCAUAAAAGGGCUCUAAUGAGAAUGUUUAAGCUGCUCUUCCAGAAGGAAUGUGUCAUGACGGUUGCCUCUAGCUACUUUUCCGAGUGUUGAAUGAGAAGCCAUGUAAGAUGACAACCCCCCAAAAGUGUAUUUUGCACACUAAUCGUUCACUCUCUAAACAAUACAUUGAGUUACAUAGGGUGAAUUUACACAGGCAGCCCAAUUCGAAGCUUUUGCCCAAUUAUUAACCAAUUGCAAAAAAAGACCAAUGCCAAAAGAUCAUAAUUGAGCUUCCUGUGUAAAUGCAGCCAUGGUGUGUAACAAUUCGUUCUCAUCAGCCUCUUUUUCACAAAGUACACCAAAAUAGAAUGUAUGUAGAAAGAAUAAAGUUUAACAGUAUAUUUCUUUGGUUUGUUUAAUUAUUUUGUGUUGUUGUUGUUGAUGUGAACACCUGCACCUACUUUUAAAUGCAAUUGGGAUAAAUAUAUAGCAGGUUAAAGCAAGGCAUACCUUGGACUAAACACUGGGAUAAACUAAACAGGAAGAGGGUUUACUCCGCCCAAAAUCUGUUCACGAAAAUAAGACCAUGAUGUGAGGAAUUUUUGUAUGGAAGUCAAUGAGAGUGUAAAAUUUGAUCAACAGAAAAUGUAAUUACUAAUUUGCUACGUGAGUCUUACAGUGGAUAUCAUAAGUAUUCACCAACCUUUGAUUUUUUUUAGAUUGUGUUGCAUUACAAAGUGGGAUUGAAAUGGAUUUAAUUGUGAUUUUUUUUGUCAUUGAUCUAAAAAAAUAUUACUCCAUAAUGUCAAAGUGAAAAGAAAAUUCUACAGUUUACAA
rnacentral:lncRNA from 8 species